rnacentral:lncRNA from 1 species
AGAAGGAUAUGCCCCAAAGACACCUACCUACGUGUAUACUGAUUUCCUUCCCAGUUUAUUAGCUGGAGAGUUCCAAGCUGAAGCUGUGCAACUGUGUCUGCUGCCAAGGGGGAAGCUGGCGAGCUUCGACUCAGCACUUCGUAAUGAUCUGGGGUUCACAGCUGAGUGUAUGUGGUCAGCUGUGACACCAUGUGGGACAGAUCAGUCUGCACACAAAAGGAUUAAAAUGAGGCUGCUCUGAAGCCGGAACUGAAAUCUGGAGUACCUGGCUACUGCACCUUGUGGACUAACCUAACACAGCAAGAGGGAGC